rnacentral:lncRNA from 1 species
AAAAAUUUAAUGCUAAAACAAUUAUAAUAAUCAAGGGCCAGGUCUACCCUCAACUCUUACCAUCAUGGAGGUAAGAUGGAGUACCCUAAAAGAGCUCCGUUAGGUCUUUGCUAUCCAAAUAUCUCUAUCAGACACUAGCUACCACCCAUUUUUGUGCACAGGAAACAGCCUGCAUACCAUGCUAGCUAUCAAGCCACAGGCCCACAAGCCUACUUGUGGAUGACAAAUUAAAUUAAGAUGCAUGCUUUCUUCCUCGUGCAGUCAGCAUAUGUAAAUUUUGUCAGCUAUUAGUAAGAGCUAAACUGCUAGCACACAUAAAACCGAACCUUGUCUACUAUAUGAGUCAAUCUGUUUUCGCAAACAAGGAAUAAACAUAUGGAGAGUGACAAA